rnacentral:rRNA from 1 species
UCGGGAAUUUUGGGCAAUGGGCGAAAGCCUGACCCAGCAACGCCGCGUGAAGGAUGAAGUAUUUCGGUAUGUAAACUUCGUAAGAAUAGGAAGAAUAAAUGACGGUACUAUUUGUAAGGUCCGGCUAACUACGUGCCAGCAGCCGCGGUAAUACGUAGGGACCAAGCGUUGUUCGGAUUUACUGGGCGUAAAGGGCGCGUAGGCGGUGUGUCAAGUCAGUUGUGAAAUCUCCGAGCUUAACUCGGAACGGUCAACUGAUACUGUCACACUAGAGUACAGAAGGGGCAAUCGGAAUUCUUGGUGUAGCGGUGAAAUGCGUAGAUAUCAAGAGGAACACCUGAGGCGAAGGCGGGUUGCUGGGCUGAUACUGACGCUGAGGCGCGAAAGCUAGGGUAGCAAACGGGAUUAGAUACCCGCGUAGUCCCUGAGCGGGCUGGCAAGGCGCAU